GGAGCUAGUUUUUAGUACGCAAACGCCAUGAAUGGCGAAUCGUGAAUGCUGCUACUAAGAACCAGCAGUAUCUUCUGAAGAUUUUCUAGUUCC
rfam:Glossina austeni, whole genome shotgun sequence.